AUGGCGUCGUCUCAGCCGGCCAAGGCCAAGCCGCACGUCCUGCUCAUCCCCUACCCGGCUCAAGGCCAUGUGAACCCGUUGCUGAGGCUGGCCAAGGCCCUGCACAUGCGCUCCUUCCACAUCACCUUCCUCCACACCGAGCACAACUAUCGCCGCCUCCUCCGGUCCCACGGGCCGGGCGCCGUAGAGGAGGUCCCUGGCUUCAGAUUCGAGACAAUUCCUGAUGGGCUCCCGCCGGCAGACCUCGAUGCCACCCAGGACAUUUGGAAGCUCUGUGAGGCCACGAGGCGGACGUGUCCGGGGCCUGUCAGGGAGCUCGUCGAGAGGCUCAGCCACACCGAUGGCGUCCCGCCGGUGACCUGCGUCAUCGCGGAUGGCGCCAUGGGGUUCGUGGUGCACGUGGCCAAGGAGUUGGGGCUGCCAGCCUAUCUGUUCUUCACGACCAGUGCAUGUGGGCUCUUGGCAUAUCUCAACUUUGAUCAGCUUGUCAAGAGAGGCUACGUGCCACUCAAAGAUGAGAGCUGCCUCACGGGCGGUUACCUAGACACCCAUGUGGGCUGGAUAACCGGAAUGAUCAGCAACGUCCGCCUCCGUGACCUACCAACGUUCAUCCGCACGACCGACACCAAUGAUGUCAUGGUGACCAUCAACAUAAAACAGUGCGAGUUGGACGCUCCCGCCGCUGACGGCAUCCUCCUCAACACCUUCGAUGACCUAGAGUACACGUCGCUGGCCGCCAUCCGCGAGCGUCUACCCAACACCAUCACCAUCGGACCACUCAUCUCGUUGUCGUCCUACCUUCCAUCCGUCACAUCGAGUCUGUGGAAAGAGGACAUUGUAUGCACUUCGUGGCUGGACAAGCAGCCGGAUGGCUCUGUGGUGUACGUCAACUUCGGGAGCAUCACGGUCAUGUCGACGGAGCAGAUGGUGGAGUUUGCACGGGGGUUGGAUGGCGCCGGCAGCCCGUUCCUAUGGGUUGUCCGGCCAGAUAUGGUGCGGGAUGGCAGCCUGCCUGAG
rnacentral:rRNA from 1 species